UACGGAGGAGGCAAGCGUUAUCCGGAAUUAUUAGGCGUAAAGCGUCCGCAGGUGGCACUUCAAGUCUGUCGUCAAAGACUGGGGCUUAACCCUGGAAAGGCGGUGGAAACUGAAGCGCUAGAGUGCGGUAGGGGUAGAGGGAAUUCCCGGUGUAGCGGUGAAAUGCGUAGAGAUCGGGAAGAACAUCGGUGGCGAAAGCGCUCUACUGGACCGCAACUGACACUCAGGGACGAAAGCUAGGGGAGCGAAUGGG
rnacentral:rRNA from 1 species